GACCGCGUAGCUCAGUUGGAAGAGCAUUGGGCUAGUAUUCCAAAGGUCGUAGGUUCGAAUCCCACUGUUGCCG